GACGAACGCUGGCGGCGUGCUUAACACAUGCAAGUCGAACGGAAAGGCCCUGCUUUUGUGGGGUGCUCGAGUGGCGAACGGGUGAGUAACACGUGAGUAACCUGCCCUUGACUUUGGGAUAACUUCAGGAAACUGGGGCUAAUACCGGAUAGGAGCUCCUGCUGCAUGGUGGGGGUUGGAAAGUUUCGGCGGUUGGGGAUGGACUCGCGGCUUAUCAGCUUGUUGGUGGGGUAGUGGCUUACCAAGGCUUUGACGGGUAGCCGGCCUGGGAGGGUGACCGGCCACAUUGGGACUGAGAUACGGCCCAGACUCCUACGGGAGGCAGCGGUGGGGAAUAUUGCACAAUGGGCGGAAGCCUGAUGCAGCAACGCCGCGUGCGGGAUGACGACCUUCGGGUUGUAAACCGCUGUCGCCUGUAACGAAGCGUGAGUGACGGUAAUGGGUAAAGAAGCACCGGCUAACUACGUG
rnacentral:rRNA from 1 species